ACUGCAGCUUUGCAUUGAACUGUGAACCGAUUUGUGUAGGAUAGGUGGGAGGCAGAGAAGAGGCCACGCCAGUGGUCUUGGAGCCGACCUUGAAAUACCACCCUGAUUUGUUUGCGGUUCUAACCACGGACAGUGAUCCUGUCUUGGGACCGUGCAUGGUAGGCAGUUUGACUGGGGCGGUCUCCUCCUAAAGGGUAACGGAGGAGUACGAAGGUACGCUAGGUACGGUCGGAAAUCGUGCUGAUAGUGCAAUGGCAAAAGCGUGCUUGACUGCGAGAGCAACAACUCGAGCAGAUGCGAAAGCAGGUCAUAGUGAUCCGGUGGCUCUGAAUGGAAGGGCCAUCGCUCAACGGAUAAAAGGUACUCUGGGGAUAACAGGCUGAUACCGCCCAAGAGUUCAUAUCGACGGCGGUGUUUGGCACCUCGAUGUCGGCUCAUCUCAUCCUGGGGCUGUAGUCGGUCCCAAGGGUAUGGCUGUUCGCCAUUUAAAGAGGUACGUGAGCUGGGUUUAAAACGUCGUGAGACAGUUUGGUCCCUAUCUGCCGUGGGCGUUGGAAGAUUGACGGGGGCUGCUCCUAGUACGAGAGGACCGGAGUGGACGCACCUCUGGUGUACCGGUUGUCACGCCAGUGGCAUUGCCGGGUAGCUAAGUGCGGAAGAGAUAACCGCUGAAAGCAUCUAAGCGGGAAACUUGCCUGAAGAUGAGUCUUCCCGGAGGUUGAACCUCCCUCAAGAGUCGUCCGAGACCAGGACGUCGAUAGGUCAGGUGUGUAAGCGCUGUAAGGCGUUGAGCUAACUGAUACUAAUUGCUCGUGAGGCUUGAUCCUAUAACC
rnacentral:rRNA from 1 species